AUCUGCAGUCGAGGGGCAGCAUGGUGUAGCAAUACACUGAUGGCGACCGGCAAACGGGUGCGGAACACGUACGCAACCUACCCAUAACUGGGGGAUAGCCCGGGGAAACCCGGAUUAAUACCUCGUAAUACUAUGAUGUGGCAUCAUGUUAUAGUUAUAGCUCCGGUGGUUAUGGAUGGGCGUGCGCCUGAUUAGGUAGUUGGCGGGGUAACGGCCCACCAAGCCUACGAUCAGUAACUGGUGUGAGAGCACGACCAGUCACACGGGCACUGAGACACGGGCCCGACUCCUACGGGAGGCAGCAGUAAGGAAUAUUGGUCAAUGGACGCAAGUCUGAACCAGCCAUGCCGCGUGAAGGAUGAAGGUCCUCUGGAUUGUAAACUUCUUUUGUAUGGGACGAAACCCUCGGAUUCUUCUGAGAUUGACGGUACCAUAGGAAUAAGCACCGGCUAACUCCGUGCCAGCAGCCGCGGUAAUACGGAGGGUGCAAGCGUUAUCCGGAUUCACUGGGCUUAAAGGGUGCGUAGGAGGGCAGGGAAGUCAGUGGUGAAAUCUCCGGGCUUAACUCGGAAACUGCCGUUGAUACUCUCUGUCUUGAAUACCGUGGAGGUGAGCGGAAUAUGUCAUGUAGCGGUGAAAUGCUUAGAUAUGACAUAGAACACCAAUUGCGAAGGCAGCUCACUACACGCAUAUUGACUCUGAGGCACGAAAGCGUGGGGAUCAAACAGGAUUAGAUACCCUGGUAGUCCACGCCCUAAACGAUGGAUACUCGACAUACGCGAUACACAGUGUGUGUCUGAGCGAAAGCAUUAAGUAUCCCACCUGGGAAGUACGACCGCAAGGUUGAAAC
rnacentral:rRNA from 1 species